GCUGGGAUUACAGGUGUCUUUGUGAAGCUUCCUAUCUUUGCUUUUCAACUAAGAUGAAACAGCAUUUAAAAGAAAAUGCCAUGUGAGAUGAGAUCAGGAGAAUGGAUUCUUUCUUUCAUCUGAAUAGAGAGCUGCUGUUCGAGAUUCAGAGUGUCAUGUGAAUGUUCGUUUCAUGGAUGUAUUGUGUACUGUAUUGAGGAUGAAAUACUACAGAUUGAAAUGCUCUGGAAUGCAGUUUUAAAACUUUCAUCUGAACAUCGUUACAUCUAUGCCCAGGAAUUUCCAAAUUCUAAACCAAAUGAUACAGCUAGAGUUUGAAGACAAUUUGAGAGCUGGUGAAGAUGACAGUUACUUCUUUCUGUUUCUUGCUCUUUGUAUAAUGGAAAUGAAUGUUACUUUUAAUGAGUCAGUUGCAAGAAAUUAAGAUAUCUGCUAGACUGGUUCUUUCUU
rnacentral:lncRNA from 1 species